CGCUUGGUAAUGGUCGGAGAUGAACCGCCAGUAGCGUGAAGGAUGAAGGUUCUAUGGAUUGUAAACUUCUUUUAUACGGGAAUAGAACCUCCCACAUGUGGGAGCUUGUAUGUACCGUAUGAAUAAGCAUCGGCUAACUCCGUGCCAGCAGCCGCGGUAAUACGGAGGAUGCGAGCGUUAUCCGGAUUUAUUGGGUUUAAAGGGAGCGUAGACGGGAGAUUAAGUCAGUUGUGAAAGGCUGCGGCUCAACCGCAGCACUGCAGUUGAUACUGGUUUCCUUGAGUUCGGUUGAGGUGUAUGGAAUUCGUGGUGUAGCAGUGAAAUGCUUAGAUAUCACGAAGAACUCCGAUUGCGAAGGCAGUACACUAAGCCGUCACUGACGUUGAGGCUCGAAAGCGUGGGUAUCAAAC
rnacentral:rRNA from 1 species